UUCAUAUUAAAGACAUAGAGGAGUUACAAGAAGAUUUGGAUAUGAUGAGGCAAGAGAAGGAUGCUUGGGAAGUCAAGUUCACACUUCAAACCUUGAGAAGAUAGAAUUCUAAAAGCGGUUGAAGAAAAAGGAUGACUUGAUAGAGUUGCUUGAGCAACAUGCUAUGAAGAGGUCAAGGGACCAAGAGGAUUUAUUUUCCUCUAACAGUUCAUCAUCUACCCAUCUUCCUAC
rnacentral:lncRNA from 1 species